rnacentral:rRNA from 1 species
GAUGAACGCUGGCGGCGUGCCUAAUACAUGCAAGUCGAGCGAACGGACGAGAAGCUUGCUUCUCUGAUGUUAGCGGCGGACGGGUGAGUAACACGUGGAUAACCUACCUAUAAGACUGGGAUAACUUCGGGAAACCGUAGCUAAUACCGGAUAAUAUUUUGAACCGCAUGGUUCAAAAGUGAAAGACGGUCUUGCUGUCACUUAUAGAUGGAUCCGCGCUGCAUUAGCUAGUUGGUAAGGUAACGGCUUACCAAGGCAACGAUGCAUAGCCGACCUGAGAGGGGGCUCGGCCACCUGGGAACUGAGACCCGGUCCAGACCCCUACGGGGGGCAGCAGGUGGGAAUCUUCCGAAAGGGGCGAAAGCCUGACGGAGCAACGCCGCGGGAGUGAUGAAGGUCUUCGGAUCGUAAAACUCUGUUUUUAGGGAAAAAAAAAUUUGUAAGUAACGGGCCACAUCUUGACGGUACCAAACCAAAAAGCCCCGGCUAACUACGU